AUUGAACGCUGGCGGAAUGCUUUACACAUGCAAGUCGAACGGCAGCACGGGGGCAACCCUGGUGGCGAGUGGCGAACGGGUGAGUAAUACAUCGGAACGUGCCCGGUCGUGGGGGAUAACGUAGCGAAAGUUACGCUAAUACCGCGUACGAUCUGAGGAUGAAAGCGGGGGACCUUCGGGCCUCGCGCGAUCGGAGCGGCCGAUGUCAGAUUAGGUAGUUGGUGGGGUAAAGGCCUACCAAGCCGACGAUCUGUAGCUGGUCUGAGAGGACGACCAGCCACACUGGGACUGAGACACGGCCCAGACUCCUACGGGAGGCAGCAGUGGGGAAUUUUGGACAAUGGGCGCAAGCCUGAUCCAGCCAUUCCGCGUGCAGGACGAAGGCCUUCGGGUUGUAAACUGCUUUUGUAUGGAACGAAAAGGCUCUGGCUAAUACCUGGGGCUCAUGACGGUACCGUAAGAAUAAGCACCAGCUAACUACGUG
rnacentral:rRNA from 1 species